GUGGGGAAUCUUCCGCAAUGGACGAAAGUCUGACGGAGCAACGCCGCGUGAGUGAAGAAGGUUUUCGGAUCGUAAAGCUCUUUCGUUAGGGACGAACGUGCUCUUUGUGAAUAAUGAGGAGUAAUGACGGUACCUAAAUAAGAAGCCACGGCUAACUACGUGCCAGCAGCCGCGGUAAUACGUAGGUGGCAAGCGUUGUCCGGAAUUAUUGGGCGUAAAGCGCGCGCAGGCGGGAUAUCAAGUCUGUCUUAAAAGUGCGAGGCUCAACCUCGUGAGGGGACAGAAACUGGUAUUCUUGAGUGUCGGAGAGGAAAGUGGAAUUCCAAGUGUAGCGGUGAAAUGCGUAGAUAUUAGGAGGAACACCAGUGGCGAAGGCGGCUUUCUGGACUGUAACUGACACUGAGGCUCGAAAGCCAGGGGAGCGAACGGGAUUAGAUACCCGGGUAGUCC
rnacentral:rRNA from 1 species